UGUGUGCCCAAGCAUUGAGGCAGUCAAAGUAGGCAAAUCCGCUUUGAUAAUGCUGGGAUGUGAUGGGGAGCGAAAUUUAGUAGCGAAGUAGCUGAUUUCACACUGUCAAGAAAAGUCUCUAUCGAGGGUAAAGGUACCCGUACCGCAAACCGACACAGGUGGGUGAGGAGAGUAUCCUAAGGCCAGCGAGAGAACUGUUGUUAAGGAACUCGGCAAAAUGACCCCGUAACU
rnacentral:rRNA from 1 species